UUAGUGGCAGACGGGUGAGUAACAUGUGGGUAUCUGCCCUUUGGCCUGGAAUAACACGAGGAAACUUGUGCUAAUACCGGAUAAGUCUUUACGGAGAAAGCUUUAUGCACCAUUGGAUGAGCCCGCACUUGAUUAGUUUGUUGGUGGGGUAAUGGCCUACCAAGACUGUGAUCAAUAGCUGAUUUGAGAGGAUGAUCAGCCACAUUGGGACUGAGACACGGCCCAAACUCCUACGGGAGGCAGCAGUGGGGAAUCUUGCACAAUGGAGGAAACUCUGAUGCAGCGAUGCCGCGUGAGUGAAGAAGGCCCUUGGGUUGUAAAGCUCUUUCGUCGGGGAAGAAAAUGACUGUACCCGAAUAAGAAGGUCCGGCUAACUUCGUGCCAGCAGCCGCGGUAAUACGAAGGGACCUAGCGUAGUUCGGAAUUACUGGGCUUAAAGAGUUCGUAGGUGGUUGAAAAAGUUGGUGGUGAAAUCCCAGAGCUUAACUCUGGAACUGCCAUCAAAACUUUUCAGCUAGAGUAUGAUAGAGGAAAGCAGAAUUUCUAGUGUAGAGGUGAAAUUCGUAGAUAUUAGAAAGAAUACCAAUUGCGAAGGCAGCUUUCUGGAUCAUUACUGACACUGAGGAACGAAAGCAUGGGUAGCGAAGAGGAUUAGAUACCCUCGUAGUCCAUGCCGUAAACGAUGUGUGUUAGACGUUGGAAAUUUAUUUUCAGUGUCGCAGCGAAAGCGAUAAACACACCGCCUGGGGAGUACGACCGCAAGGUUAAAACUCAAAUGAAUUGACGGGGACCCGCACAAGUAGUGGAGCAUGUGGUUUAAUUCGAAGAUACGCGCAGAACCUUACCAACACUUGACAUGUUCGUCGCGACUCUAAGAGAUUAGAGUUUUCGGUUCGGCCGGACGAAACACAGUGCUGCAUGGCUGUCGUCAGCUCGUGUCGUGAGAUGUUGGGUUAAGUCCCGCAACGAGCGCAACCCUCACUUUUAGUUGCCAUCAUUAAGUUGGGCACUCUGAAAGAACUGCCAGUGAUAAGCUGGAGGAAGGUGGGGAUGACGUCAAGUCCUCAUGGCCCUUACGUGUUGGGCUACACACGUGCUAC
rnacentral:rRNA from 1 species